GACGGCGAGGGGCCGGCAGCGCUCCGAGUUCGGCGUGCUUGUGACGCAGCUUUUAAAAAAGGAGACCGAGGCAGAGACCCGGGAGAGGGCGGGCGAGGGGAAGGGAGAGGAAGCGAAGCCUCACGCUGGGUGUCCGUCCUCCGGGCGCCGCUGGGUUGGGAGCUUAGAGGAGCCGAAGCGGGAGCCGGGACUGGGGGAGGCGGGGCCAGGGUGGGCUUUGAGAUGUAGCUCUCUCUCCACCCCCGGCCGCGCUCUGGGAGGGAAACGCGACUGCCGACCCCCCGCCCAUGCUCUCUGCUGAAACCCCAAUCUUAAUCUGGAGGCCCCUGGUUAUGCGCUUCCACCCCAACGUGGGUGGGGAAAGCAGCACUAUCUUAAUUCUAGUAGCAACCCCUGAAUUCACCUCCCCCCUAAAUUAAUUACCCCUCCCUUGCCUGCUAAACCAGUUGGGACUGGCCCUAAAAGGGUUAAUUAGGUGAGGUCCCGGCGCUCCCUCGCCUAAUUGCCUGCGAUCUGUGUUUUGCUGGGAGAAGGGCGGGCAGCGAAAUGACCGCCAGUUUGGACUAGGCCUGGGGAAGAAGAGGAAACCAUCAUUGGAGCAGCUCUGGAAACUGUGCUGCAGGCAAAAAUGGGAGAAGUCACAGAUGCCUGGCAGAUAGCCCUGGGGUGUGAGUUUCUCCAGUUGCGGCAAGCGGGCGCUACUCUUCGUUGAGGGAUAUUGCAAGGAGACAGCAAGCUCAAGACUGUAAACCAUUCCUCAACUGUGGGUUGUUUGGGGCUAAAAAUAAAGCACUAAAAGGAAUAUUGCCUGAAAGUUUGCAUCUCCCUGAAAGAAUAACUGUAAACCAGGUAUAUUAAUUAUCUAUUACUAUGCAACAAGAUACCCUCAAAUUCAGCACCUUAGACAACAAACUUUUGUUAUCUCCCUUGGUUUCUUUUUAUUUUUUUAUUUUUUAUCUUUUUUCCCUCAGUUUCUGAGGGUCAGGAAUCCAGGAGUGGGUAAGCUGUUGGUUCUCGCUCAGAGUCUCUCACAAGGUUGUAGUCAAACUGUUGUCCAGGUCUUCAGUCAUCUUGACUGGGGCUAGAGAAUAAGCUUCCAUGUUCACUCUAGUGGUUAUUGGCAGGCCUUAGUUCUUCAAUGGCUGUUGGACAGAGGCUUCAAUUUUUUGCCACAUGGGACUCUCCAUGGGGCUGCUCACCAUAUGGCACGCUGCUGUCACUAGAGUAAGAGAUCAGAGAGAGAGAGAGAGAAACAAAAACACCUGGGCUGAAGCCUCAGUCGUUUUAUCAUCUAAUCUUGGAAGUGACAUAUCAUCACUUCUGCCUUAUCUUAUUGGUUACACAGACCAACCCUGGUACAAAUGGGGAGAGAACUACAUAAGAGUGUGAAUAACAGGAGGCAGAGGUUAUUGGGACCCAUCCUGGGGGUUUUCAAUGACAACAGGUCUGGUCCUUAGUGUUGCAGGUCUGGAGGUUUAAUUUAGGAAGUUAAUCAGAAUUCAUCAGAUUCAGGAAACUGAUUCACACAAAUUAAAUACACAUGAAACAUUAUCUUGGUACUACUCUGCCUCUUUUCUAGAACU